GUGGGGAAUAUUGGACAAUGGGCGCAAGCCUGAUCCAGCCAUGCCGCGUGAGUGAUGAAGGCCUUAGGGUUGUAAAGCUCUUUCACCGGUGAAGAUAAUGACGGUAACCGGAGAAGAAGCCCCGGCUAACUUCGUGCCAGCAGCCGCGGUAAUACGAAGGGGGCUAGCGUUGUUCGGAAUUACUGGGCGUAAAGCGCACGUAGGCUGAUAUUUAAGUCAGGGGUGAAAUCCCGGGGCUCAACCCCGGAACUGCCUUUGAUACUGGGUAUCUUGAGUAUGGAAGAGGUCAGUGGAAUUGCGAGUGUAGAGGUGAAAUUCGUAGAUAUUAGCAGGAACACCAGUGGCGAAGGCGGCUGACUGGUCCAUUACUGACGCUGAGGUGCGAAAGCGUGGGGAGCAAACAGGAUUAGAUACCCGAGUAGUCC
rnacentral:rRNA from 1 species